GACACCAAGCCCGAGGCAGACUCCGGCCGCCCGGUUUAGUGCUCUGGGGAUGAAAGCAUUCAUUUCAAACUCUGAAUCAUCUGGUGCCAUUUCUUCACACAUUUCUGCAAGAAAAGAAGGCUUUAUUUGGAAUGAUUCACCAACAUAUAAAUCAAGAGACAUGCAAACCAGACUUAAAGGAGCUACAGAAACUUACAAAGCCUAGAAACUAUGAAAACAAACUAUUUCCAGUGUUCCCAUCGCAAGGCAUGUAAACUCAACUCCGGAGAAAAGAACAAAUGAAAUCAACUCACUUUUCAAGAGGCUACAAUUCUAGCUAAUAUAAUACACAGCUAUCUUCUUUGAAAAUUGAAUCGAGGGAACACAUGAAUAGGAUUAAGAAGUAAAAAAAAAAAAAAAAAAAACCCCAAAUCGGAAAAUCCAACAAUGCAAAGCAACAGCUGUGACUCUUCCCACCUUGAGUCCCAGAGCCUAAAGGGAAGCCGGACUAGAAAUGGUUCGGUAGAAGCCAGCUCAGAGGUUCCCCGCUCAGCACUGUGAAUCUUCGAUAGUGGCAAAAGAGAACACAGAUACUGAGAUGAGAAAACUGAGUCUCAGCAAGCCUGAGGAAUUUACCCAAAGAUCUGGGAUUCUUCGCACGGGUUAUUUGGCUACAAGUCCACCGACGAACAGGUAC